rnacentral:rRNA from 1 species
AUUGAACGCUGGCGGCAGGCUUAACACAUGCAAGUCGAGCGGGGUGAUGGUGCUUGCACUAUCACUUAGCGGCGGACGGGUGAGUAAUGCUUAGGAAUCUGCCUAUUAGUGGGGGACAACAUCUCGAAAGGGAUGCUAAUACCGCAUACGUCCUACGGGAGAAAGCAGGGGAUCACUUGUGACCUUGCGCUAAUAGAUGAGCCUAAGUGGGAUUAGCUAGAUGGUGGGGUAAAGGCCUACCAAGGCGACGAUCUGUAGCGGGUCUGAGAGGAUGAUCCGCCACACUGGGACAGGGACACGGCCCAGACUCCGACGGGAGGCAGCAGUGGGGAAUAUUGGACAAUGGGGGGAACCCUGAUCCAGCCAUGCCGCGUGUGUGAAGAAGGCCUUAUGGUUGUAAAGCACUUUAAGCGAGGAGGAGGCUCUUUUGGUUAAUACCCAAGAUGAGUGGACGUUACUCGCAGAAUAAGCACCGGCUAACUCUGUGCCAGCCGCCGCCGUAA